rnacentral:tRNA from 1 species
GCCUGAGUGGCUCAGUCAGUUAAGCCUCCGACUUCAGCUCAGAUCAUGAUCUCAUGGUUUGUGGGUUCGAGCCCCGCGUCAGGCU